GACGAACGCUGGCGGCGCGCUUAACACAUGCAAGUCGAGCGAAGCGGCGGACGGGUGAGUAACACGUGAGUAACCUGCCUUAGACAUUGGGAUAGCCUCGGGAACCCGGGAUUAAUACCAAAUGGUCUAAGAUGGACUCGCGUCCCAUUAGCUGGUUGGUGAGGUAACGGCCCCCCAAGGCGACGAUGGGGAGCCGGCCUGAGAGGGUGAACGGAGACUGUGGAGCUGAGAAACGGUCCAAACUCUGCGGGAGGGAGGAGUGGGGAAUAUGGCACAAUGGAGGGAACUCUGAUGCAGCGACGCCGGGUGAACGAAGAAGGCUGUCGAGUCGUAAAGUUCUUUUAUAUGGGAAGCGGUACCAGAAGAAGAAGCCCCGGCUAACUACGUGCCAGCAGCCGCGGUAAUAC
rnacentral:rRNA from 1 species